AACAAUUAUCAUCUUCAGUUUUGAGAGACUUAAGAAAGUUUUUCAUUGUAACUUGCUUGCAAAUUGUAUUUGCAACAUUUUAAUCUUUUUAAGAUUAAGGGCCUAUAGCUCAGUUGGUUAGAGCACACGCCUGAUAAGCGUGAGGUCGGUGGUUCAAGUCCAUUUAGGCCCACCAUAACCACAAAUAGGCAAAAUCUUAAAAAAGCUCUUUGAAAAGUAGAUAAACGAAGGUUAAAAAAUCA
rnacentral:misc_RNA from 2 species